rnacentral:rRNA from 1 species
CCUACGGGGAGCAGCAGUGGGGAAUAUUGCGCAAUGGGCGAAAGCCUGACGCAGCGACGCCGCGUGAGGGAUGAAGGUCUUCGGAUCGUAAACCUCUGUCAGCAGGGAAGAACGGUCACUGUGCUAAUCAGCAGUGAAUUGACGGUACCUGCAAAGGAAGCACCGGCUAACUCCGUGCCAGCAGCCGCGGUAAUAAGGAGGGUGCGAGCGUUAAUCGGAAUUACUGGGCGUAAAGCGCUCGUAGGCGGUAUGUCAAGUCAAGGGUGAAAUCCCCGCGCUCAACGUGGGAACUGCCUUUGAAACUGGCAAACUGGAGUGUGUGAGAGGAUAGUGGAAUUCCAGGUGUAGGAGUGAAAGCCGUAGAUAUCUGGAGGAACAUCAGUGGCGAAGGCGACUAUCUGGCACAUAACUGACGCUGAGGAGCGAAAGCGUGGGUAGCAAACAGGAUUAGAUACCCCAGUAGUC